rnacentral:tRNA from 1 species
AAGGCUUUAUCUUAAUAAAAGAGUUUGAUUUGCACUCAAAAUAUGAGGGUUAGUUACUUUCAGGUCUUA